UACAGAGGGGGCGAGCGUUGUUCGGAUUUACUGGGCGUAAAGGGUGCGUAGGUGGCGGGGUAAGUCUGGUGUGAAAGCUCCGAGCUCAACUCGGAAAAGCAUUGGAAACUAUCCCGCUUGAGGGUCGGAGGGGAGACUGGAAUUCUCGGUGUAGCAGUGAAAUGCGUAGAUAUCGAGAGGAACACCAGUGGCGAAGGCGAGUCUCUGGACGACUCCUGACACUGAGGCACGAAAGCUAGGGGAGCAAACAGG
rnacentral:rRNA from 1 species